GACGAACGCUGGCGGCGUGCUUAACACAUGCAAGUCGAGCGGUAAGGCCCUUUCGGGGGGUACACGAGCGGCGAACGGGUGAGUAACACGUGGGUGACCUGCCCUCAGCUCUGGGAUAAGCCUGGGAAACUGGGUCUAAUACUGGAUAUGACUCCACGGUGCAUGUCGUGGGGUGGAAAGCCUUGUGCGGCUGAGGAUGGGCCCGCGGCCUAUCAGCUUGUUGGCGGGGUGANGGCCUACCAAGGCGACGACGGGUAGCCGGCCUGAGAGGGCGACCGGCCACACUGGGACUGAGACACGGCCCAGACUCCUACGGGAGGCAGCAGUGGGGAAUCUUGCGCAAUGGGCGAAAGCCUGACGCAGCGACGCCGCGUGAGGGAUGACGG
rnacentral:rRNA from 1 species